rnacentral:rRNA from 1 species
UACGUAGGGUGCAAGCGUUGUCCGGAAUUAUUGGGCGUAAAGGGCUCGUAGGCGGUCUGUUGCGUCGGGAGUGAAAACUCAGGGCUUAACCCUGAGCCUGCUUCCGAUACGGGCAGACUAGAGGUAUGCAGGGGAGAACGGAAUUCCUGGUGUAGCGGUGAAAUGCGCAGAUAUCAGGAGGAACACCGGUGGCGAAGGCGGUUCUCUGGGCAUUACCUGACGCUGAGGAGCGAAAGUGUGGGGAGCGAACAGG